rnacentral:rRNA from 1 species
UACGAAGGGGGCUAGCGUUGCUCGGAAUUACUGGGCGUAAAGGGAGCGUAGGCGUAUAGUUCAGUCAGAGGUGAAAUCCCAGGGCUCAAACCUGGAACUGCCUUUGAUACUGGCCAUCUUGAGUAUGGGAGAGGUGUGUGGAACUCCGAGUGUAGAGGUGAAAUUCGUAGAUAUUCGGAAGAACACCAGUGGCGAAGGCGACACACUGGCCCAUUACUGACGCUGAGGCUCGAAAGCGUGGGGAGCAAACAGG